rnacentral:rRNA from 1 species
UUAAGCGACUAAGCGUACACGGUGGAUGCCCUGGCAGUCAGAGGCGAUGAAGGACGUGCUAAUCUGCGAUAAGCGUCGGUAAGGUGAUAUGAACCGUUAUAACCGGCGAUUUCCGAAUGGGGAAACCCAGUGUGAUUCGUCACACUAUCAUUAACUGAAUCCAUAGGUUAAUGAGGCGAACCGGGGGAACUGAAACAUCUAAGUACCCCGAGGAAAAGAAAUCAACCGAGAUUCCCCCAGUAGCGGCGAGCGAACGGGGAGCAGCCCAGAGCCUGAAUCAGUGUGUGUGUUAGUGGAAGCGUCUGGAAAGGCGCGCGAUACAGGGUGACAGCCCCGUACACAAAAAUACACAUACUGUGAGCUCGAUGAGUAGGGCGGGACACGUGGUAUCCUGUCUGAAUAUGGGGGGACCAUCCUCCAAGGCUAAAUACUCCUGACUGACCGAUAGUGAACCAGUACCGUGAGGGAAAGGCGAAAAGAACCCCGGCGAGGGGAGUGAAAAAGAACCUGAAACCGUGUACGUACAAGCAGUGGGAGCACAGAGCAAUCUGUGUGACUGCGUACCUUUUGUAUAAUGGGUCAGCGACUUAUAUUCUGUAGCAAGGUUAACCGAAUAGGGGAGCCGAAGGGAAACCGAGUCUUAACUGGGCGUUAAGUUGCAGGGUAUAGACCCGAAACCCGGUGAUCUAGCCAUGGGCAGGUUGAAGGUUGGGUAACACUAACUGGAGGACCGAACCGACUAAUGUUGAAAAAUUAGCGGAUGACUUGUGGCUGGGGGUGAAAGGCCAAUCAAACCGGGAGAUAGCUGGUUCUCCCCGAAAGCUAUUUAGGUAGCGCCUCGUGAAUUCAUCUCCGGGGGUAGAGCACUGUUUCGGCAAGGGGGUCAUCCCGACUUACCAACCCGAUGCAAACUGCGAAUACCGGAGAAUGUUAUCACGGGAGACACACGGCGGGUGCUAACGUCCGUCGUGAAGAGGGAAACAACCCAGACCGCCAGCUAAGGUCCCAAAGUCAUGGUUAAGUGGGAAACGAUGUGGGAAGGCCCAGACAGCCAGGAUGUUGGCUUAGAAGCAGCCAUCAUUUAAAGAAAGCGUAAUAGCUCACUGGUCGAGUCGGCCUGCGCGGAAGAUGUAACGGGGCUAAACCAUGCACCGAAGCUGCGGCAGCGACACUAUGUGUUGUUGGGUAGGGGAGCGUUCUGUAAGCCUGUGAAGGUGUACUGUGAGGUAUGCUGGAGGUAUCAGAAGUGCGAAUGCUGACAUAAGUAACGAUAAAGCGGGUGAAAAGCCCGCUCGCCGGAAGACCAAGGGUUCCUGUCCAACGUUAAUCGGGGCAGGGUGAGUCGACCCCUAAGGCGAGGCCGAAAGGCGUAGUCGAUGGGAAACAGGUUAAUAUUCCUGUACUUGGUGUUACUGCGAAGGGGGGACGGAGAAGGCUAUGUUGGCCGGGCGACGGUUGUCCCGGUUUAAGCGUGUAGGCUGGUUUUCCAGGCAAAUCCGGAAAAUCAAGGCUGAGGCGUGAUGACGAGGCACUACGGUGCUGAAGCAACAAAUGCCCUGCUUCCAGGAAAAGCCUCUAAGCAUCAGGUAACAUCAAAUCGUACCCCAAACCGACACAGGUGGUCAGGUAGAGAAUACCAAGGCGCUUGAGAGAACUCGGGUGAAGGAACUAGGCAAAAUGGUGCCGUAACUUCGGGAGAAGGCACGCUGAUAUGUAGGUGAAGUCCCUCGCGGAUGGAGCUGAAAUCAGUCGAAGAUACCAGCUGGCUGCAACUGUUUAUUAAAAACACAGCACUGUGCAAACACGAAAGUGGACGUAUACGGUGUGACGCCUGCCCGGUGCCGGAAGGUUAAUUGAUGGGGUCAGCGCAAGCGAAGCUCUUGAUCGAAGCCCCGGUAAACGGCGGCCGUAACUAUAACGGUCCUAAGGUAGCGAAAUUCCUUGUCGGGUAAGUUCCGACCUGCACGAAUGGCGUAAUGAUGGCCAGGCUGUCUCCACCCGAGACUCAGUGAAAUUGAACUCGCUGUGAAGAUGCAGUGUACCCGCGGCAAGACGGAAAGACCCCGUGAACCUUUACUAUAGCUUGACACUGAACAUUGAGCCUUGAUGUGUAGGAUAGGUGGGAGGCUUGGAAGUGUGGACGCCAGUCUGCAUGGAGCCGACCUUGAAAUACCACCCUUUAAUGUUUGAUGUUCUAACGUUGACCCGUAAUCCGGGUUGCGGACAGUGUCUGGUGGGUAGUUUGACUGGGGCGGUCUCCUCCUAAAGAGUAACGGAGGAGCACGAAGGUUGGCUAAUCCUGGUCGGACAUCAGGAGGUUAGUGCAAUGGCAUAAGCCAGCUUGACUGCGAGCGUGACGGCGCGAGCAGGUGCGAAAGCAGGUCAUAGUGAUCCGGUGGUUCUGAAUGGAAGGGCCAUCGCUCAACGGAUAAAAGGUACUCCGGGGAUAACAGGCUGAUACCGCCCAAGAGUUCAUAUCGACGGCGGUGUUUGGCACCUCGAUGUCGGCUCAUCACAUCCUGGGGCUGAAGUAGGUCCCAAGGGUAUGGCUGUUCGCCAUUUAAAGUGGUACGCGAGCUGGGUUUAGAACGUCGUGAGACAGUUCGGUCCCUAUCUGCCGUGGGCGCUGGAGAACUGAGGGGGGCUGCUCCUAGUACGAGAGGACCGGAGUGGACGCAUCACUGGUGUUCGGGUUGUCAUGCCAAUGGCACUGCCCGGUAGCUAAAUGCGGAAGAGAUAAGUGCUGAAAGCAUCUAAGCACGAAACUUGCCCCGAGAUGAGUUCUCCCUGACUCCUUGAGAGUCCUGAAGGAACGUUGAAGACGACGACGUUGAUAGGCCGGGUGUGUAAGCGCAGCGAUGCGUUGAGCUAACCGGUACUAAUGAACCGUGAGGCUUAACCUU